UAUCAGGUGGUCGAGAGGUUAAGGCAAUAGAGUGCUAAUACAUCGGGGUAUCCCCGCGUGAGUUCGAAUCUCAUCGUGAUCG
rnacentral:tRNA from 1 species